CCGAGUUUACAACUCCCAAACCCAAUGUGAACCAUACCAAACUGUUGCCUCGGCGGGGUCACGCCCCGGGUGCGUCGCAGCCCCGGAACCAGGCGCCCGCCGGAGGGACCAACCAAACUCUUUCUGUAGUCCCCUCGCGGACGUUAUUUCUUACAGCUCUGAGCAAAAAUUCAAAAUGAAUCAAAACUUUCAACAACGGAUCUCUUGGUUCUGGCAUCGAUGAAGAACGCAGCGAAAUGCGAUAAGUAAUGUGAAUUGCAGAAUUCAGUGAAUCAUCGAAUCUUUGAACGCACAUUGCGCCCGCCAGUAUUCUGGCGGGCAUGCCUGUCCGAGCGUCAUUUCAACCCUCGAACCCCUCCGGGGGGUCGGCGUUGGGGAUCGGGAACCCCUAAGACGGGAUCCCGGCCCCGAAAUACAGUGGCGGUCUCGCCGCAGCCUCUCCUGCGCAGUAGUUUGCACAACUCGCACCGGGAGCGCGGCGCGUCCACGUCCGUAAAACACCCAACUUCUGAAAUGUUGACCUCGGAUCAGGUAGGAAUACCCGCUGAACUUAAGCAUAUCAAA
rnacentral:rRNA from 1 species